AACGCUAGCUACAGGCUUAACACAUGCAAGUCGAGGGGUAACAAGAGAAAAGCUUGCUUUUCUCGUUGACGACCGGCGCACGGGUGAGUAACGCGUAUCCAACCUACCCACAACUAGAGAAUAACCUUGCGAAAGUAAGACUAAUGCUCUAUAAUUUCCUUAGAUGGCAUCUGACGAGGAAUAAAGAUUUAUCGGUUAUGGAUGGGGAUGCGUCUGAUUAGCUUGUUGGCGGGGUAACGGCCCACCAAGGCAACGAUCAGUAGGGGUUCUGAGAGGAAGGUCCCCCACAUUGGAACUGAGACACGGUCCAAACUCCUACGGGAGGCAGCAGUGAGGAAUAUUGGUCAAUGGGCGGAAGCCUGAACCAGCCAAGUAGCGUGCAGGAUGACGGCCCUAUGGGUUGUAAACUGCUUUUAUACAGGAAUAAAGUUAGCCACGUGUGGUUAUUUGUAGGUACUGUAUGAAUAAGGACCGGCUAAUUCCGUGCCAGCAGCCGCGGUAAUACGGAAGGUCCAGGCGUUAUCCGGAUUUAUUGGGUUUAAAGGGAGCGUANGCCGUCUGUUAAGCGUGUUGUGAAAUGUAGAUGCUCAACAUCUGAAUUGCAGCGCGAACUGGCAGACUUGAGUGUGCGCAACGUANGCGGAAUUCGUGGUGUAGCGGUGAAAUGCUUANAUAUCACGAANAACUCCGAUUG
rnacentral:rRNA from 1 species